GAUGAACGCUGGCGGCGUGCCUAAUACAUGCAAGUCGAGCGAACAGACGAGGAGCUUGCUCCUCUGACGUUAGCGGCGGAAGGGUGAGUAACACGUGGAUAACCUACCUAUAAGACUGGGAUAACUUCGGGAAACCGGAGCUAAUACCGGAUAACAUGUUGAACCGCAUGGUUCAAAAGUGAAAGACGGUCUUGCUGUCACUUAUAGAUGGAUCCGCGCCGCAUUAGCUAGUUGGUAAGGUAACGGCUUACCAAGGCAACGAUGCGUAGCCGACCUGAGAGGGUGAUCGGCCACACUGGAACUGAGACACGGUCCAGACUCCUACGGGAGGCAGCAGUAGGGAAUCUUCCGCAAUGGGCGAAAGCCUGACGGAGCAACGCCGCGUGAGUGAAGAAGGUCUUCGGAUCGUAAAACUCUGUUAUUAGGGAAGAACAAAUGUGUAAGUAACUAUGCACGUCUUGACGGUACCUAAUCAGAAAGCCACGGCUAACUACGUG
rnacentral:rRNA from 1 species